GUGCCUGCCGACACCCGG
rnacentral:misc_RNA from 1 species